rnacentral:rRNA from 1 species
UACGAAGGGGGCUAGCGUUGCUCGGAAUCACUGGGCGUAAAGCGCACGUAGGCGGUCCGUUAUGUCGGGUGUGAAAGCCCUCGGCUUAACCGAGGAAGUGCAUUCGAAACUGGCGGACUUGAGUACCGGAGAGGGUCGCGGAAUUCCCGGUGUAGAGGUGAAAUUCGUAGAUAUCGGGAGGAACACCAGUGGCGAAGGCGGCGACCUGGACGGAUACUGACGCUGAGGUGCGAAAGCGUGGGGAGCAAACAGG